CCUACGGGAGGCAGCAGUGGGGAAUUUUGCGCAAUGCCCGUAAGAGUGACGCAGCGACGCCGCGUGAAUGACGAAGGCCUUCGGGUCGUAAAGUUCUUUCGACCGGGAAGAAAAUGCCUAUAAUUCACUGGUUAUGUAUUUACGGUACCAGUAUAAGCAGCCUCGGCUAACUCCGUCCUAGCAGCCCCGGUAAUACGAAGGGGCGUGCGUGGUACGGAGUGAAUGGGCGUAAAGAGCACGUAGGCGGUGUUGUAAGUCAUUAGUCAAAGACGAGAGGUCAACUUUAGUAAGGCUGGUGAUACUAGAAUACUAGAGUAUCAGAGAGGAAUGCAGAAUGCCUGGUGUAGCGGUGAAAUGCGUAGAUAUCAGGAGGAAUACCGUUAGCGAAGGCGGCAAUCUGGCUGGAAACUGACGCUGAGGUGCGAAAGCGUGGGUAGCAAACAGGAUUAGAUACCCCUGUAGUC
rnacentral:rRNA from 1 species